AAUCAGUCACUGGCCCUGGCCGGGCAAGGGGCACUAGGUGGACCAGCUGCCUCCGAAGCCCCCUGACCUGGUGUGGAAGUGGCGAAGGAUUCCUGAUGCUCUGGACCUGUCGUGUGCUCUGCUCCCAAGCGGGGUCCUCCGCUGGGGGCUGGAAGCCCCUGAGCUUUGAUGGUGGGGCCUUCCACCUCAAGGGCACAGGAGAACUGACCCGGGCUUUGCUGGUGCUACGGCUGUGUGCCUGGCCCCCUCUGGUCACCCACGGCCUGGCGCUCCAAGCCUGGUCUCAGCGACUCCUGGGGUCCCAGCUCUCGGGCGCGCUUCUCCGAGCAUCCAUCUACGGGCAGUUUGUGGCUGGUGAGACCACAGAGGAGGUGAGGGGCUGUGUCCAACAGUUGCAGAGCCUAGGCCUCCGGCCCCUGCUGGCGGUGCCCACUGAGGAGGAGCCAGACUCAGCUGUCAAGACCGGCGAGGCCUGGUAUGAGGGGAACCUCAGCGCUAUGCUUCGAUGUGUGGACCUGUCACGAGGCCUCCUGGAGAGCCCCGGCCCGACUGGAAACAUCCUCAUGCAGCUGAAGAUUACGGCUCUGAUGAGCACUCGGCUCUGUAAGGAGCUAACCUCACGUGUCCGAAGGCCAGGGGGCUCCUUGGAGCUGAGCCCUGAAAGACUGGCUGAAGCCAUGGACUCUGGGCGGGACCUCCAGGUCUCCUGCCUCAAUGUCGAGCAAACCCGGCAUCUCCAGGCCUCCUUGAGCCGUUUGCACCGGGUGGUACAGCACGCCCGGGCCCAGCAUGUGAGGCUCCUGGUGGACGCUGAGUAUACCUCCCUGAACCCUGCACUCUCUCUGCUGGUGGCCGCUCUGGCCACUCGCUGGAACAGCCCCAGGGAAGGCGGGCCCUGGGUGUGGAACACUUACCAGGCCUAUCUGAAGGACACCUACGAGCAGCUGAGGCGGGAUGCUGAGGCCGCAGACAGGGCUGGCCUGGCCUUCGGGGUGAAGCUGGUACGAGGGGCAUAUCUGGACAAGGAGAGAGAGGUGGCCCGGCUCCAGGGUACCGAAGAUCCCACUCAGCCUGACUACAAGGCUACCAGUCAGAGUUACAGCCGCUGUCUGGAGCUGAUGCUGACCCAGGUGUCCCAUCGUGGCCCCAUGUGCCCCCUCAUGGUGGCUUCCCACAAUGAGGACUCUGUUCACCAGGCAACCAAGCGGUAGAUGGUGAGAACUCUGCUGGGCAGACGGCGCUCUUCCUCGCGGCGCUGCUGGGCCACAGCUCUGCCGUGCAGCUCCUGCUGGCCUUUGGUGCCAGCCCCAACCACCGCUGCCUGGACGGCAGCACACCUGUGCACGCGGGCGCCUUCUCGGGCCGCAGCCUGGUGAUGCUGCACGUGCUGCAGGCGGGGGGUGACCUGCGUCUGCACGACCAGCAGGGUCGCAGCCCUCGGGAGUGGGCAGAGCAAGGCGGUGCCAAGCAGAGCUGGGAGGUGAGCCGUGGCCGGGGUGGGGUGAGGGCGUCAGGGCGGGCGCCCCACCCUGCCUCACCCCACGGGCCACCCCCUGUCCGGGUGCUGGAGCCGUUACAGCUCUGCCGUGCCCACACAUCAGCACUGGUGCAUGGCAGUGAGCUGGCACCCACGGCCCCGCUGGGCCAGCUGCAGGCCAGCUCUGGACGGAGCCUGUGUGGCGGUGAGCG